AUGUGUGAUGUCCGUCCCACCCUGACGGUGCUGCCCCCCUCCCGCGAGGAGCUGCAGCAGGGGAAGGCCACGCUCAUGUGCCUGGCCAACAAGGGCUUCCCCUCAGGCUGGAGUCUGGCCUGGAAGGUGGACGGCAGCAGCAGCAGCUUGGAUCAGAGCAGGAGCCCCGGGGUGCUGGGGAAGGACGACACCUACAGCUGGAGCAGCACCCUGAGGCUCACUGCAGACCAGUGGACGAAGGCGGGCUCUGUGACCUGUGAGGCCACCCAGGGCUGCCAGGCUCCGGUCUCAGAGACACUGAGGACAGACCAGUGUUCCCAGUCCUGACCUGACUCUCUGAGACUCUGCUACUGGUUUUACUCUGCUCCU